UACAGAGGUCCCAAGCGUUGUUCGGACUCAUUGGGCGUAAAGGGUGCGUAGGCGGCGCGGUAAGUCGGGUGUGAAAUCUCGGGGCUUAACUCCGAAACUGCAUUCGAUACUGCCGUGCUUGAGGACUGGAGAGGAGACUGGAAUUUACGGUGUAGCGGUGAAAUGCGUAGAUAUCGUAAGGAAGACCAGUGGCGAAGGCGGGUCUCUGGACAGUUCCUGACGCUGAGGCACGAAGGCCAGGGGAGCAAACGGG
rnacentral:rRNA from 1 species